AACGAACGCUGGCGGCGUGGAUAAGACAUGCAAGUCGAGCGAGAUUUCUUUUGGUAGCAAUACCGAAGGAAGUCUAGCGGCGAACGGGUGCUUAACACGUGGGCAACCUGCCAGGAAGUGGGGGAUAGCUCGCCGAAAGGCGAAUUAAUACCGCAUGUGAUUAGAGUGGACAUCCAUUCAAAAUCAAAGUCGGGGCAACCUGACGCUUCUUGAGGGGCCCGCGGCCUAUCAGCUAGUUGGUGAGGUAACGGCCCACCAAGGCUUUGACGGGUAGCUGGUCUGAGAGGACGACCAGCCACACUGGGACUGAGACACGGCCCAGACACCUACGGGUGGCAGCAGUCGAGAAUUUUUCUCAAUGGGGGAAACCCUGAAGGAGCGACGCCGCGUGGAGGAUGAAGGUCUUCGGGUUGUAAACUCCUGUCAUUUGGGAACAAUGCGUAAAUAUUAACUGUAUUUGCGUUGAUAGUACCAGAAGAGGAAGAGACGGCUAACUCUGUGCCAGCAGCCGCCGUAAAAC
rnacentral:rRNA from 1 species